GUGGCUGUGGUCACGUGUGGAGCGCUUGGUCAAAAUCCCUAAAACAGGGUCCGGUCUUCCCCCAUCGGUCUGCUCCUCCCACUCCCACGACCAGCGCCGCCGCUUGCCCCCGUGUCCGCCGUCCAGUUCUGAUCCGCCGACUCCCUCCCCAUCGAGCGCCGCCCACAUCGCCGUUGAGCAUCGACUCCACGCCUCCAGCACAGCCUCCCUCCCCAUCUAGCGCGGCCCCCAUCGCCGGCGACUUCCAGAUCCGCCUCCCUGGCCGGCGAACUUCCAGAUCCGCGUCCCUGGCCGGCGAACUUCCAGAUCCACCUCCGUCGCCGUGUGGAGGUGGCUCCCUCCCCGACCAGUCUUACAAAAUCAGGAAGUUGUAGCGCUACAAAGGCCAAGUUUGAGAAGUGACAUUGCCACACCACAACCCUCUCGAUCAAGAAGUCCAAUCCAGGCAUGUUGAAGAACCCACCACAAAGCAUCUUCAAGACGCACAUCCAGCAUAUUGGAAGGAACGUCAUCUCGAUCUUCAAAGUUAUGUUCCUGGUACUUCUUCAUAGUUGCAGUCUGCACUUGGCACCAAGAAAAGACCUUCUCAUUUGUUUGGUGACUAAUAGCAUGUGUGUCAUGAGCUGGAGUUUACCUUUGUGUUUGAAAACUUGUAUACAUAUAUUACAGUUUUGCCUUUCACCAUUGUUCAUUGAAAUAUGCUAUAUUCUUUUCCAUUGUAGGUGAAUUGAUCCUUCCAAGCCCAAGAGGAUGCCGGUACUCCGCUGGCAGAUCCUUCCCAUGCUGAAGGCCAUGUUCAUGCUACUCAUCUGGAUGAGCAUGGUUCUACCCCAAGACAGGAUAUAUACCAUUUGUUGCACUACAGUUGGUAUAUAGCAAGAUGGAUAAGAAAUACCCAAGAGCUUCUUCCUUUUCAAGAUUAGAAGAUGGAUGAUAGUGAUACGCUUCUGAGAAGAAAUCGUUCCAGGUACUGGGCGUAGUGGUGAUGGAGACAUAGACUUGUAAGACCCUUGGGUGGGCGAACGCCCUUGAGCACCUCCACUUGAACUUCUGGUGAGCAAGUCUGUAAGGAACCACCCCAGGACAGUUCCAGUCAUAUUAGUCUUUUCUUAUCAGCUAGCUUUGCAUCGUCUGCUUUCUUCUUGUUUUUGACAUAUUCAAGAUGAUGAAUUUUCAGAUUACCUUGCAGCUUGUUUAGGCUCCCCAACUGUUUUAGCUCAUGCCCAUGUUUUGUCCUUACUUGAGAUACAGCAAGUUCUUGUAGUAAUGUUAAACUACCGAUGUUCGGAACUUGCAUUGCAAAGCUAUAAAUAUGACGCUUACUGCUAGUUCUCUACAUGUAGUGCUAGUUCUGUACAUGCAGUUUAGUGCUUGUCAUACUUAGAUUUUUCCUAUGAAGUGAUGAUUUU